CUGAAUAAUAUACCAAGCCAAAUGUAUAGAUACUUUAUACUGUUAUCUGUAUCUACAAGAAUUCUUCUAAGUCCUGAUUUGUAUAUUGAUAACUGACUGUGAUUAUGCAGAGGAUGUUUUGAAGCAGUUUGUGAAAGAUUUUGCUUUGAUUUAUGGUCUUGACUUUGUUGGUUAUAAUAUACAUUCUUUAAUACACCUAGCUCAAGAUGUACGGAAGUUUGGCCCUUUAGACAGCAUUUCCUGCUUCCCAUUAGAAACCUUCCUUGGUGGAAUUUAUUUGGAUUCUGGAAGCAGAUUGGGAAAGGGAAGCGGAAAAGGAGGCCAGUGAUCCCGUCGAGCUCUGAUGAGGAUUGGGACAACACUGCGGAACAGCCAGAGACCUCACCACCAUCAGCAAUGGAGAAUAGACAUUCAAGUGAAACUCACUUCCUGAACAUCACUCAUCCAUUUGUUCAGCCGCUACAACCCUCAACUCCUUCACCUGUGGUUUCACAACCAGUUCCAAGACAACUUCUACAAGCCACCAAUACGAGCAUGUUUGUACGUGUUCUAACCCUCCUGGAAGACAUUAAGGACACUCAGAGGGUCCACAGUCGAAUGCUACAGUCUCUCCUUACACAACGUGAUGGACCAGUUGCUGCAGUAUUACCCGAGGGUGCUGUAUUUCCCAUCCGGACAGUAGCAGAUGUGGCAGCACUGGAGCAAAAACUGGCAGACCCUGUCUUCCUAAAAGAAGUGGUUGCUGUUGUGGCAGAGAUCAGAGGGAGCACUGUUGAUGAAGCCACAAGAAGAAUGAUGGCCUACAUUAUGGACAAUGCUCUUUCCAGGCAAUAUAACUUCGUUGGGUGCCAUGGAAAGCGGGAAUUUCGAGGGCUUAAAGUUUUUGAAGUGCUAUAUGGACCAAUGGAUUGGUGAAUGAGUGAGAAGCUGUGGUUUGCUGCAUUUGUUUUUCCUUUAAACUGUAUAACAUUUAUUUGUUAUUACUUUAUGUAUACUGUGG